UACGGAGGGAGCUAGCGUUGUUCGGAAUUACUGGGCGUAAAGCGCACGUAGGCGGCUUUGUAAGUUAGAGGUGAAAGCCCGGGGCUCAACCCCGGAAUUGCCUUUAAGACUGCAUCGCUUGAAUCCAGGAGAGGUGAGUGGAAUUCCGAGUGUAGAGGUGAAAUUCGUAGAUAUUCGGAAGAACACCAGUGGCGAAGGCGGCUCACUGGACCGGCAUUGACGCUGAGGUGCGAAAGCGUGGGGAGCAAACAGG
rnacentral:rRNA from 1 species